UCCCUGGUGGUCCAGUGGCCAAGACUCUGUGCUUCCAGUGCAGGGGGCCCGGGGUUCAAUCCCUGGUCAGGGAA
rnacentral:tRNA from 1 species